CAGCCCGCUUUUAAGGUGAGCUUUCUCUAGCUGCUUUCUCCUCUUUUGAUUCCUUUUCUCUCCUCCUCACAUCCUGCACGAGGGGGGGGGGGGGUGCAGCAGAGAUGGGAACAGCUAACUUCACAUCAGAAAACGGAGCAUCAGGAAUUGUCGGGCUUUCAACAUGCCCACUAUAAAUGAAGCAGACAAUACCAGGCAAAAAUAGUGGAACUGACACAUGCAAACAACUGUGUGGACCAAAAGGAGUCUGAAGUAAAGAAUCAGAGGUCCAAUGGAAGAACUGAAACGGGGACUUAGCCAAAAGGAAGAGUGAGGCACCUUAUGUAGAGAAGAGAUUGAUAUUGUCCUUCUACCAGAACAUCUCCCAGAUUCAAGGAACUCCCUUUAGCCUUUCUCCAGCGGUGAGGAGAGUCUUCCUAUCCCCUCAUUUCUGAAGGACAUCUUUGCAAGGGCUGAUCAUAUUUCAGGACAUAAUUGGACACGACGGUAGAAGAGUACAAGAGUGGAACUGAGUAAGAGUUGAGAUCCAGAACUCAGUACAUGCUCGGAUGGAGGUGAAGAAUAUUGAGCUUUAUCACAGAUUUAUCCACAUGUGCUUCCAAAGAGAAAGAAACACUGGCACUAAAGCACAGCCACUUGGAAAGUUAUUAUGGCUUUGGUUGCUAAGACAGAAAUAGAGCCUUUGGAGAAAUGAUUGGUUCAAAUCAUUGGGAAUGUAAUUUUCAUCAUUGCAUUCACUAAAAGGCUCACUUAGAGAAAAUGGCCUCCCAGUUUCCAAAAAUACAGUUUCCUUAAAAUGGGAAUAUCUCAGAUCUGAUCUUUGUGGGUAUUAAACCAAUUUACUUAUAAGCAAAAAUUAUACCUUUUGCCCUAAACAAAUUUAAUUCACAGAUUGAGUUAUUUAGCUGAGAUAUACUCCUAUUAGUUUCAUUAAUCUUAUUGACAAUUACAUUGUCACCUUAGUUCAUUAGAAAAGUUUAUAGACCUCAAAGGUCUAGGGGUGCCUGGGUGGCUCAGUCGGUUGAGCAUCUGACUUCAGCUCAGGUCAUGAUCUCAUACUCUGUGAAUUCA